AACAAGGAUUCCCCUAGUAACGGCGAGUGAACCGGGAAGAGCUCAAAUUUGAAAUCUGGCGUGCUCCGUGCGUCCGAGUUGUAAUCUAUAGAAACGUUUUCCGUGCCGGACCGUGUCCAAGUCCCUUGGAACAGGGUAUCAAAGAGGGUGACAAUCCCGUACUUGACACGACGACCGGUGCUCUGUGAUACGUUUUCUACGAGUCGAGUUGUUUGGGAAUGCAGCUCAAAAUGGGUGGUGAAUUCCAUCUAAAGCUAAAUAUUGGCGAGAGACCGAUAGCGAACAAGUACCGUGAGGGAAAGAUGAAAAGCACUUUGGAAAGAGAGUUAAACAGUAUGUGAAAUUGUUGAAAGGGAAACGAUUGAAGUCAGUCGUGACCUUGGGAUUCAGCCGGCUCUGCCGGUGUAUUUCUCAAGGUCGGGUCAACAUCAGUUCUGACCGGUGGAUAAUGGCUGUGGGAAUGUGGCUCCCCCGGGAGUGUUAUAGCCCGCUGUCGCAUACAUCGGUUGGGACUGAGGAAUGCAGCUCGCCUUUAUGGCCGGGGUUCGCCCACGUCCGAGCUUAGGAUGUUGACAUAAUGGCUUUAAACGA
rnacentral:rRNA from 1 species